AGAGUUUGAUCCUGGCUCAGGACGAACGCUGGCGGCGUGCUUAACACAUGCAAGUGGAGCGACGAACCAGGGCUUGCCCUGGGGCAGAGCCGCGAACGGGUGAGUAACACGUGGGUUACCUGCCCCGAUGACCGGGACAACCCGAGGAAACUCGGGCUAAUACCGGAUGUGGUCUUCGGACGAAAGGAAGCUUCGGCCUCCGCAUCGGGAUGGGCCCGCGGCGCAUUAGCUUGUUGGUGGGGUAACGGCCUACCAAGGCUUCGAUGCGUAGCUGGUCUGAGAGGACGAUCAGCCACGACUGGGACUGAGACACGGCCCAGACUCCUACGGGAGGCAGCAGUGGGGAAUCUAGCGCAAUGCGCGAAAGCGUGACGCAGCAACGCCGCGUGGGGGAAGACGGCCUUCGGGUUGUAGCACCUCUUUCAGUUGGGACGACUGCCAUCCGGUUAAUAGCUGGUUUGGUUGACGGUACCUUCAGAUGAUGCCCCGGCUAACUACGUGCCAGCAGCCGCGGUAAUGCGUAUGGGGGCAAGCGUUGUCCUGGGAUCCUUGGGGCGUUAAUGAGCGAUGUAGGGCGGGCCCCGAUCAUGUCCGCCUGUUGNAANG
rnacentral:rRNA from 1 species